AGGGCUCCAGGACUCAGGACGUGCGGGACAGCGAAUCCUGGCAGAGAACAGGUGCCUUCCCCGGGUGGAAACUCAAGCCUGCUCCUAACAGCUCUGCUUCCAGGUCAGAGCCUGGGCGCCUCUUGACCGGCUUGGAGCUGGCACCACUGGAAAGUGGCUUCCCCUCCUGGCAGUGUCACCACUUACAGAGGAGGUCUCAAGCUCCAGAGAGAGCAAGUGACAGCCCCAGGCCGCACGGAGUCGGGGCAGCUGGUCGAGCCCUGAUGACGCUGCCUGCCGCUGACCAGCCUGGGAUUUAUGGAGAGGCCCUCGGGGGGCAGCCCUGAGUACUGCCGCGCCCAGCAUCCGCACCGCGCCCGCUGCUGAGGCCCCCGCGCCUCCGGCCUCACCAUUGCCCUCGCCCGCUCAUGGCCCCCGCCACCUGGCCCGGGGC
ensembl:lncRNA